CUAGGAGCAUAAAGCUGGGAUGAAGGAGGUUAUCCUUGUGGCAUUGUAUAGUCAGACUUGUCCGUGGCUUUUUGAUGUGGGAUGUAUGAACCUCCUGUGUCAUUAAGGGGCAAGGAUUCAUCUUGGGCAUCUUAUGUAGGUCAGCAAAUGGCAGAUGUGGAUGAAACUUCAAUGAAGCAGAUCACAGGAGUGGCCAGUUCCUCAAGCUGAGGAGAGGUGGAUCUGGAGGAGAACCUCAGGGGAUGAAGUGGUGAGGUUUAAAGUGAUGCCACCCCACUGCUUGUGGAGCGCUGCCUUCUGCAGAGCAAGCGGGAUGCGGAUCAGAUCAAACAAGCUUCCAGUUCUUGGUUUGCAUCCCACUAGAGACCCUCUCUGUGCUGCCCAAGCUGAUGAAGGCUCACACCCAAAUGCUUUGGUCAUGGUCAAGAAAGCUCAGCUUUGCUGUGCUCGAGUUUUGGCUCAGCCUCUUCCUCAUGGACCUGUCACACUGGCACAGAACAGAGCUACAAAUAAUUACAGCACAAAAUAAUUACAGCUGUGGCACACUUGACUGAACCAGUGACUUCUCACAUAUUUCCCUCAGUGGACAACAGGAACAAGGUAUAAUGGAUUAUUUGUCACUACAGUGGAAUUUUAAUAUACACAUGGGAAAUACUCUGCGCGAUGCUGUUCUCAAUAGGAAGUGCUUUGUUAUUUCUAACACAACUUUCUUCUGGUCUUCAUUUGUUAAAAUUAAAAUUAUUGAUCUCCUUGGGAAGCACGAGCCUGGUGAUUGCUCCCAAAUACAGCACUGAUACAGAAUCCAUGGACAAAACUGCGUUAUCAUGGAGGUGAUUGCUUAUUGUUAGUUGGAGGAGGUCAGGGAGUGGGAUUAAGCACAUCAUCCAAUCAACCCCGAAGGUGUAAUUCAGUAUAAAUCAUUUUUUAAUCAACAGGAGGAUAUGUUAAAGUCAUUUGCUUGUAGUGUCUGUUUAUAUUGAGAAAAUGCAGUGAUAUUAAAACGGAGUUUAUGUCUCUGGAUUUAUGCUUAAAUUGUUUUUUUUAUUGGCCCGUAGUACAAUAGGCAAAUGAGAUAUUCUCAAAUAAAUGUUUGUCAUCCAGGAU
rnacentral:lncRNA from 1 species